AUUGAACGCUGGCGGCAGGCCUAACACAUGCAAGUCGAGCGGAUGAAGGGAGCUUGCUCCUGGAUUCAGCGGCGGACGGGUGAGUAAUGCCUAGGAAUCUGCCUGGUAGUGGGGGAUAACGUCCGGAAACGGGCGCUAAUACCGCAUACGUCCUGAGGGAGAAAGUGGGGGAUCUUCGGACCUCACGCUAUCAGAUGAGCCUAGGUCGGAUUAGCUAGUUGGUGGGGUAAAGGCCUACCAAGGCGACGAUCCGUAACUGGUCUGAGAGGAUGAUCAGUCACACUGGAACUGAGACACGGUCCAGACUCCUACGGGAGGCAGCAGUGGGGAAUAUUGGACAAUGGGCGAAAGCCUGAUCCAGCCAUGCCGCGUGUGUGAAGAAGGUCUUCGGAUUGUAAAGCACUUUAUGUUGGGAGGAAGGGCAGUAAGUUAAUACCUUGCUGUUUUGACGUUACCAACAGAAUAAGCACCGGCUAACUUCGUG
rnacentral:rRNA from 1 species